GACGAACGCUGGCGGCGUGCUUAACACAUGCAAGUCGAACGGAAAGGCCCUGCUUUUGUGGGGUGCUCGAGUGGCGAAGGGGUGAGUAACACGUGAGUAACCUGCACUUGACUGUGGGAGAACUUCAGGAAAAUGGGGCUAAUAUAGGAUAGGAGAUCCUGAAGCAUGGUGGGGGUUGGAAAGUUUCGGCGGUUGGGGAUGGAAUCGCGGGUUAUCAGCUUGUUGGUGGGGUAGUGGCUUACCAAGGCUUUGACGGGUAGGCGGCCUGAGAGGGUGACCGGCCACAUUGGGACUGAGAUACGGCCCAGACUCCUACGGGAGGCAGCAGUGGGGAAUAUUGCACAAUGGGCGGAAGCCUGUUGCAGCAACGCCGCGUGCGGGAUGCCGGCCUUCGAGUUGUAAACCGCUUUCGCCUGUGACGAAGCGUGAGUGACGGUAAUGGGUAAAGAAGCACCGGCUAACUACGUG
rnacentral:rRNA from 1 species